UACGAAGGGGGGCUAGCGUUGCUCGGAAUCACUGGGCGUAAAGCGCACGUAGGCGGCUUCUCAAGUCAGGGGUGAAAUCCUGGAGCUCAACUCCAGAACUGCCUUUGAUACUGAGGGGCUCGAGUCCGGGAGAGGUGAGUGGAACUGCGAGUGUAGAGGUGAAAUUCGUAGAUAUUCGCAAGAACACCAGUGGCGAAGGCGGCUCACUGGCCCGGUACUGACGCUGAGGUGCGAAAGCGUGGGGAGCAAACAGG
rnacentral:rRNA from 1 species